GAUGAACGCUGGCGGCAUGCCUAAUACAUGCAAGUCGAGCGAACAGAUGAAGUGCUUGCACUUCUGACGUUAGCGGCGAACGGGUGAGUAACACGUAAGGAACCUACCUAUAAGCGGGGGAUAACAUUCGGAAACGGGUGCUAAUACCGCAUAAUAUCUUCUUCCGCAUGGAAGAAGAUUGAAAGACGGCUCUGCUGUCACUUAUAGAUGACCUUGCGGUGCAUUAGUUAGUUGGUGGGGUAAUGGCCUACCAAGACGAUGAUGCAUAGCCGACCUGCGAGGGUGAUCGGCAACAUUGGGACUGAGACACGGCCCAAACUCCUACGGGAGGCAGCAGGAGGGAAUCUUCCGCAAUGGGCGAAAGCCUGACGGAGCAAUGCCGCGUGAGUGAAGAAGGCCUUCGGGUCGUAAAACUCUGUUAUAAGAGAAGAACAAAUUGUAGAGUAACUGCUACAGUCUUGACGGUAUCUUAUCAGAAAGCCACGGCUAACUACGUGCCAGCCGCCGCCGUAA
rnacentral:rRNA from 1 species